rnacentral:rRNA from 1 species
GAUGAACGCUGGCGGCGUGCCUAAUACAUGCCAGUCGAGCGAACAGACGAGGAGCUUGCUCCUCUGACGUUAGCGGCGGACGGGUGAGUAACACGUGGAUAACCUACCUAUAAGACUGGGAUAACUUCGGGAAACCGGAGCUAAUACCGGAUAAUAUAUUGAACCGCAUGGUUCAAUAGUGAAAGACGGUUUUGCUGUCACUUAUAGAUGGAUCCGCGCCGCAUUAGCUAGUUGGUGAGGUAACGGCUUACCAAGGCAACGAUGCGUAGCCGACCUGAGAGGGUGAUCGGCCCCACUGGAACUGAGGCACGGUCCAGACUCCUACGGGGGGCAGCAGUAGGGAAUCUUCCGGAAGGGGCGAAAGCCUGACGGAGCAACGCCGCGUGAGUGAUGAAGGUCUUCGGAUCGUAAAACUCUGUUAUUAGGGAAGAACAAAUGUGUAAGUAACUAUGCACGUCUUGACGGUACCUAAUCAGAAAGCCACGGCUAACUACGUG